rnacentral:lncRNA from 1 species
UUUUUACAAUUUGGUCCUUUCAAAAGAAUUUCCAUAGCUUCCAAGAGAGAAAAAUAAUAAGAAGACAAUGGGGAGUGUAAUCACUGAAUUUUGUCCGGCUCGAUUUCGUGUUUUUUUUUUAAAUUUACAUUUUGACCCCUCCACUUUUUAAAAUUGCAUUUUGACCCCUAAAGUUUUUAAAAUUUCAUUAUGACCCUUAAACUUCUUAAAAUUGCAUUUUAACCCCAAAAAUUUCUUAAAAUUACACUUUGGCCCCAAAAGUUUUGCUAUGCUUGCAAUUUGGUCCUUCUGGCAGCCAAACAUGAUUUUCGCACCUAAUCCCCGCAAUUUCCGGCCACCGGCCUAGGGUAUGGCCUCCCUUUUCCCUAGCAACCUGCCACCUGCAAAAAGAAGCAAAUAAAUCACUAUAAAAUGGGUUUAAAACCCUAAAAUCGAGACCCCCCACCAAAAAAAAAUUCAAAGAAAAAAAACACAAAAAAAGAGAGAAGAGAAGGCUUUCGAAAAAAGAAAGGAAGAGAGGAGAAGAGGAGAUCGGCCAGCGCAUCACCGACGGAGACGAUGGCGGCGGCACGAACGGCGGCGAG